GUGGAUGUAGCUCAAUUGGUUAGAGCACUGGUUUGUGGCACCAGGGGUUGUGGGUUCAAGUCCCAUCUUCCACCCCA
rnacentral:tRNA from 3 species